AUAUCACUCCCUCUGCCCGGAAAUACUUGUCAUCAAAAUAAACAAAAAGGGAUGUAUCUAGAACUAAAAUACGUCUAGAUACAUCCUCUUUUAUCCAUUUUGAUGACAAGUAUUUCCGGACGGAGGGAGUAAUAG
rfam:Triticum urartu cultivar G1812 contig950558, whole genome shotgun sequence.